AGUGGAUGGGGAGCAACCUAGUUGUGCGUGUGUAAAGGUAGUGCCAAGAAAAGCGGUGAUCAUGAUGAAAAAUCAAUUCCCGGUACCCGAAACCGACACAGGUGGGCAAGUAGAGAAUACUAAGGGGCGCGAGGUAACUCUCUCCAAGGAACUCGGCAAAAUGACCCCGUAACUUAGGGAGAAGGGGUGCCACCGAGAGGUGGUCGCAGUGAAGAGGCCCAGGCGACUGUUUAGCAAAAACAUAGAUCUCUGCAAACUCGAAAGAGGAGGUAUAGGGGCUGACGCCUGCCCAGUGCCGGAAGGUUAAAGAAGUUGGUCAGUCUUAGGAUGAAGCUAGCGACUGAAGCCCCGGUGAACGGCGGCCGUAACUAUAACGGUCCUAAGGUAGCGAAAUUCCUUGUCGGGUAAGUUCCGACCCGCACGAAAGGCGUAACGAUCUGGGCGCUGUCUCGGAGAGAGGCUCGGCGAAAUAGGAUUGUCUGUGAAGAUACGGACUACCUGCAUUUGGACAGAAAGACCCUAUGAAGCUUUACUAUAGCUUGGAAUUGUGUUCGGGCUUCCUGUGCGCAGGAUAGGUGGGAGGCGUAGAAGGUAUUCUUGUGGGGAUACUGGAGCCAACGGUGAGAUACCACUCUCAGGAGGCUAGAAUUCUAACUUAAUUAAGGACAGUUUCAGGUGGGUAGUUUGACUGGGGCGGUCGCCUCCAAAAAGGUAACGGAGGCGUACAAAGGUUCCCUCAGACUGGUUGGAAAUCAGUCGAAGAGUGCAAAGGCAGAAGGGAGCUUGACUGCGAGAAGUACAGUUCGAGCAGGGUGGAAACACGGUCUUAGUGAUCCGACGGUGCUGUGUGGAAGGGCCGUCGCUCAACGGAUAAAAGUUACUCUAGGAUAACAGGCUGAUCUCCCCCAAGAGUUCACAUCGACGGGGAGGUUUGGCACCUCGAUGUCGGCUCAUCGCAACCUGGGGCGGAAGUACGUCCCAAGGGUUGGGCUGUUCGCCCAUUAAAGCGGUACGUGAGCUGGGUUCAGAACGUCGUGAGACAGUUCGGUCCAUAUCCGAUGUAGGCGUGAGAAUAUUGAGAGGAGCCUUCCUUAGUACGAGAGGACCGGGAAGGACGCACCGCUGGUGUACCUGUUAUGAUGCCAAUUGUAAACGCAGGGUAGCCAAGUGCGGAGAGGAUAACCGCUGAAAGCAUCUAAGUGGGAAGCCCACCUCAAGAUGAGUAUUCUGGUGUAAGGUCACGGGAAGACGACCCGUUAAUAGGCACGAGGUGGAAGUGCAGAGAUGUAUGAAGCCGAAGUGUACUAAUAGACCGUCGGCUUGAC
rnacentral:rRNA from 1 species